AUUGAACGCUGGCGGCAGGCCUAACACAUGCAAGUCGAGCGGAUGAGUGGAGCUUGCUCCAUGAUUCAGCGGCGGACGGGUGAGUAAUGCCUAGGAAUCUGCCUGGUAGUGGGGGACAACGUUUCGAAAGGAACGCUAAUACCGCAUACGUCCUACGGGAGAAAGCAGGGGACCUUCGGGCCUUGCGCUAUCAGAUGAGCCUAGGUCGGAUUAGCUAGUAGGUGAGGUAAUGGCUCACCUAGGCGACGAUCCGUAACUGGUCUGAGAGGAUGAUCAGUCACACUGGAACUGAGACACGGUCCAGACUCCUACGGGAGGCAGCAGUGGGGAAUAUUGGACAAUGGGCGAAAGCCUGAUCUAGCCAUGCCGCGUGUGUGAAGAAGGUCUUCGGACUGUAAAGCACUUUAAGUUGGGAGGAAGAGCAGUAAGUUAAUACCUUGCUGUUUUGACGUUACCAACAGAAUAAGCACCGGCUAACUUCGUGCCAGCAGCCGCCGUAACAC
rnacentral:rRNA from 1 species